AUACGUAGGGGGCGAGCGUUGUCCGGAAUUAUUGGGCGUAAAGGGUUCGUAGGCGGUUAUUUAAGUCAGGUGUGAAAGGCAUAGGCUCAACCUGUGUAAGCACUUGAAACUGAAUGACUUGAGUUAAGGAGAGGAAAGUGGAAUUCCUAGUGUAGCGGUGAAAUGCGUAGAUAUUAGGAGGAAUACCAGUGGCGAAGGCGUACUUUCUGGACUGUAACUGACGCUGAGGCUACGAAAGCGGUGGGGAGAC
rnacentral:rRNA from 1 species